AUUGAACGCUGGCGGCAUGCCUUACACAUGCAAGUCGAACGGUAACAGGUCUUCGGAUGCUGACGAGUGGCGAACGGGUGAGUAAUACAUCGGAACGUGCCCGAUCGUGGGGGAUAACGAGGCGAAAGCUUUGCUAAUACCGCAUACGAUCUACGGAUGAAAGCGGGGGAUCUUCGGACCUCGCGCGGACGGAGUGGCCGAUGGCAGAUUAGGUAGUUGGUGGGAUAAAAGCUUACCAAGCCGACGAUCUGUAGCUGGUCUGAGAGGAUGAUCAGCCACACUGGGACUGAGACACGGCCCAGACUCCUACGGGAGGCAGCAGUGGGGAAUUUUGGACAAUGGGCGAAAGCCUGAUCCAGCCAUGCCGCGUGCAGGAUGAAGGCCUUCGGGUUGUAAACUGCUUUUGUACGGAACGAAAAGCCUCUUUCUAAUAAAGAGGGGUCAUGACGGUACCGUAAGAAUAAGCACCGGCUAACUACGUG
rnacentral:rRNA from 1 species